GACGAACGCUGGCGGCGUGCUUAACACAUGCAAGUCGAACGGUGAAGCGCUUGCCUUUUUGGUGGGUAUGGAUGAGUGGCGAACGGGUGAGUAACACGUGAGUAACCUGCCCUCUUCUUCUGGAUAACCUCAUGAAAGUGGGGCUAAUACGGGGUAUUCCGGGUCUGUCGCAUGGCGGGUUUGGGAAAGAUUGCGCCUUUGGGUGUUUUCGGUGGGGGAUGGGCUCGCGGCCUAUCAGCUUGUUGGUGGGGUGAUGGCCUACCAAGGCGGUGACGGGUAGCCGGCCUGAGAGGGUGGACGGCCACACUGGGACUGAGACACGGCCCAGACUCCUGCGGGAGGCAGCAGUGGGGAAUAUUGCACAAUGGGCGCAAGCCUGAUGCAGCGACGCCGCGUGAGGGAUGGAGGCCUUCGGGUUGUGAACCUCUUUCGCCAGUGAAGCAGGCCUGCUCCUGUGUGGGUGGGUUGACGGUAGCUGGAUAAGAAGCGCCGGCUAACUACGUG
rnacentral:rRNA from 1 species